rnacentral:tRNA from 1 species
GGUGAGGUAGCUCAGCUGGCUAGAGCGUGGGUCUCAUAAUCCCGAGGUCGAGGGUUCGAUUCCCUCUCUCACCACCA